rnacentral:rRNA from 1 species
GAGUCUCUAGUCGAUAGAAUAAUGUAGGUAAGGGAAGUCGGCAAAUUAGAUCCGUAACUUCGGGAUAAGGAUUGGCUCUGAAGAUUGAGAUAGUCGGGCUUGAUUGGGAAACAAUAACAUGGUUUAUGUGCUCGUUCUGGGUAAAUAGAGUUUCUAGCAUUUAUGUUAGUUACUUGUUCCCCGGAUAGUUUAGUUACGUAGCCAAUUGUGGAACUUUCUUGCUAAAAUUUUUAAGAAUACUAUUUGGGUUAAACCAAUUAGUUCUUAUCAAUUAUAACGAUUAUCAAUUAACAAUCAAUUCAGAACUGGCACGGACUUGGGGAAUCCGACUGUCUAAUUAAAACAAAGCAUUGUGAUGGCCCUAGCGGGUGUUGACACAAUGUGAUUUCUGCCCAGUGCUCUGAAUGUCAAAGUGAAGAAAUUCAAGUAAGCGCGGGUCAACGGCGGGAGUAACUAUGACUCUCUUAAGGUAGCCAAAUGCCUCGUCAUCUAAUUAGUGACGCGCAUGAAUGGAUUAACGAGAUUCCUACUGUCCCUAUCUACUAUCUAGCGAAACCACAGCCAAGGGAACGGGCUUGGAAUAAUUAGCGGGGAAAGAAGACCCUUUUGAGCUUGACUCUAAUCUGGCAGUGUAAGGAGACAUAAGAGGUGUAGAAUAAGUGGGAGAUAUUAGACCUCGGUUUGGUAUCGUCAAUGAAAUACCACUACUCUUAUUGUUUCCUUACUUACUUGAUUAAAUGGAACGUGUAUCAUUUCCUAGCCAUUAUACGGAUAUAUUUAUUAUAUCUAUGGUAUUGAGUUUUGAUGCAAGCUUCUUGAUCAAAGUAUCACGAGUUUGUUAUAUAAUCGCAAACAAAUUCUUUAAUAAAACGAUGCAUUUAUGUAUUUUUGAUUUGAAAAUUUGGUAUAACUCCAAUUACUCAGGUAUGAUCCAAUUCAAGGACAUUGCCAGGUAGGGAGUUUGACUGGGGCGGUACAUCUCUCAAAUAAUAACGGAGGUGUCCCAAGGCCAGCUCAGUGCGGACAGAAACCACACAUAGAGCAAAAGGGCAAAUGCUGACUUGAUCUCGGUGUUCAGUACACACAGGGACAGCAAAAGCUCGGCCUAUCGAUCCUUUUGGUUUAAAGAGUUUUUAACAAGAGGUGUCAGAAAAGUUACCAUAGGGAUAACUGGCUUGUGGCGGCCAAGCGUUCAUAGCGACGUCGCUUUUUGAUCCUUCGAUGUCGGCUCUUCCUAUCAUUGUGAAGCAAAAUUCACCAAGCGUUGGAUUGUUCACCCAUGCAAGGGAACGUGAGCUGGGUUUAGACCGUCGUGAGACAGGUUAGUUUUACCCUACUAAUGACAAAACGUUGUUGCGACAGCAUUCCUGCGUAGUACGAGAGGAACCGCAGGUACGGACCAAUGGCACAAUACUUGUUCGAGCGAACAGUGGUAUGACGCUACGUCCGUUGGAUUAUGCCUGAACGCCUCUAAGGUCGUAUCCGUGCUGGACUGCAAUGAUAAAUAAGGGGCAAUUUGCAUUGU